rnacentral:rRNA from 1 species
UACGGAGGGUGCAAGCGUUGUCCGGAAUCAUUGGGCGUAAAGCGCGCGUAGGUGGCCUCAUAAGUCCGCUGUGAAAGUCAAAGGCUCAACCUUUGAAAGCCGGUGGAUACUGUGAGGCUAGAGUACGGAAGAGGCGAGUGGAAUUCCUGGUGUAGCGGUGGAAUGCGCAGAUAUCAGGAGGAACACCGAUGGCGAAGGCAGGUCUCUGGGCCACUACUGACGCUGAGAAGCGAAAGCAUGGGGAGCGAACAGG